rnacentral:sRNA from 1 species
UGAUUAUGCUCGAGCCGGGAGGAGGUC